UCAGUGGUACUAUACCUCAGUUUUAUCAGGUGUAUUUUCAAAUCACCUGUAAAUACUGAGGUUGUGUUCCAUUGAACA
ensembl:miRNA